GCCUAACCUAACAUACAAUCAAAUCACCAAUUGUUCGCCAAAUAACUACGAGUUAAAACUUAAAACUUAAAAGACUUGACGGUACUUCACACCACCCUAGAGGAGCCUGUCUAAUAACCGAUACCCCACGAUUAACCCGACCCGCCCUAGCCUUAACAGUCUAUAUACCGCCAUCGCCAGCUCACCUUGUGAAAGAAACAAAGCGGGCCCAACAGCAACCACUAACACGAUAGGUCGAGGUGUAACUAAUGAGCAGGGAAAGAUGGGCUACAUUUUCUAACUUAGAAAAUACGAAUGGACUACGAAAAUAGAAACCGAAGGCGGAUUUAGCAGUAAAUUAGAGAUAGUAAACCUAAUCGAAACGAACGCAAUGAAGUGCGUACACACCGCCCGUCAUCCCUGUAAAAAAACACAAACUUCAUAAACACAAAAAACUAACAAACAGGGCAAGUCGUAACAUGGUAAGCGUACUGGAAAGUGCGCUUAGAAA
rnacentral:rRNA from 1 species